GAUGAAGAACGUAGCGAAAUGCGAUAAGUAAUGUGAAUUGCAGAAUUCAGUGAAUCAUCGAAUCUUUGAACGCACAUUGCGCCCGCCAGUAUUCUGGCGGGCAUGCCUGUCUGAGCGUCAUUUCAACCCUCAUGCCCCUAGGGCGUGGUGUUGGGGAUCGGCCAAAGCCCGCGAGGGACGGCCGGCCCCUAAAUCUAGUGGCGGACCCGUCGUGGCCUCCUCUGCGAAGUAGUGAUAUUCCGCAUCGUAGAGCGAUGAGCCCCUGCCGUUAAACCCCCAACUUUCCAAGGUUGACCUCAGAUCAGGUAGGAAUACCCGCUGAACUUAAGCAUAUCAAUAAGCGGAGGA
rnacentral:misc_RNA from 1 species